CCAUAAAAGGUCAGCUGCCAGCAGGCAGUUUCAGAGUCCGAGUCAGAGAGAGAGAGAGGGGGGAAUUCAGUGGGGAGCAGACGGAGGAACUGGAAACCAGUAAGAGAAGCCAAAGAAGUCAGAAAAGCUGCAGGAGAGAGAGACAGAGCAGAGCUGACUGACCAGGAGCUGAACUGCAAUUAAAGAAGAAUAGUAAAAGAUUUAUCACAGCAGCAGUAGUGAUAUAAAGGGAUACCAAUGGAUUUAUAAACAGUGGUUCUCAACCAGGGGUACUCAAAGGUCUUCCAGGAGGUACUCAACUCAUCUAGAUCAGUGUUUCUCAACCUGGGGUUUGAAGCCUCCAUGGGGGUCACGGGAUGGGGUUGCAAGUGCAGAGCCAAAAUCAGCUGGUGGCAAGCAGGGCUUCAGCCCUGGACAGCAAGGCUUGGGCUUCAGACAAGGCUCACAAGUGAAAAAAACAGGCUCAAUAUCACACUGAAAUGUUUAUAUCUUCAAAUGCAGUUCCAGGAGGUGAACCCCACCCAAUCCAUCACAGAAGGUCCCAUUGUGUCAGUACCUUUCAUCACUCCACUGGUAAAAUAGCAUCCUGAAUUCCUUCUGCAUGUAUAGGUAAGGGGCGGGAGUUCACUACAAGGUCCCAAACCACCCACCAUUUUUUGGGAUGGGACCUGAGGCUACAAUGUUUGAGGGCCAGUUGGCAGAUGUGGGGGCACUUUGGGGGCCCCCAAUCAGACAAUCUAAUCUCCCUUGCCUGAACCCAAAAGUAUCCCAUGUCACCCUGAACACCUCCAUGCAUGGUACUGCCCUGGUUUCCUGCAGUCCCUUAGAAUGUUGUUACUUGUGAAUUUCAAGGAUGUUUUUGCUUUUACCUGGCGGGCUGUGGCAGAUACACACAUGAUGCUCUCACCAGAGAUAUUGCCAGUGCUCGGGCAGAGGUUCUGGCUGGGCACUCGACGCCCAUAAAAUGCAGAUAGGAUGCUAAUGGAGGUCUUGUGGGGACAAAUGACUCCCAGUUGCUCCCCAUCACAGGCGUGGGCUGUGUGGUUCUUCAGCACCUUUUGAAGGUAACCUGAGAGGAGUAAAACACACAGAUGUUGUAUGCAGGGUUGUUGUAGCCAUGCUAGUCCCACCUUGUCUCUAUAAAAUAGAGAGAGUCAUUAGAGCUGGGAAGUGCUAGAGCCGCAGGGAAUGAGAACACAGCCUCCAGACUCCUGGCAGCAGGGGGGAGGAGGGCGGAGGGGGAGGAAGGGGAUGGCCCUGAACUGGGGCAGUAUCCUAGGCAAAUGCAAACUCAAAGAGGGAGGGAGAUGUUGUGGCAGGGAGGGGAAUGCACUUUUCUGCCAGGCAGGGGAAGGGGAAUAUUGUACCAAGGUCUACACCAGCAGUUCUCAAACUAUGGGUCAGGACCCCAAAGUGGGUCACAACCCCAUUUUAGUAGGGUUGCCAGGGCUGGCAUUAGACUUGCUGGGGCCCAGGGCCAAAGCCUGAGCCCCACCACCCAGGGCCAAAGCCAAAGCUCGAGGGCUUCCACCCUGGAUGGCAGGGGCCUGGGGAUGAAGCCCUUGGGCUUUGGCUUUGGCUUUGAUUCUCCCCACCUGGGGUGGCAGAGCUUGGGCAGGCUCAGGCUUUGGUCCCCACUCCUGGGGUCUUGUAGUAAUUUUUGUUGUCAGAAGGGGGUCGCAGUGCAGUGAAGUUUGAGAACCCCUGGUCUACACUAAGGGUUGUCCAAAGUGGGAUAAAAGUAACAAAAACCAGCUCAGCCACUUGGAAAGAAUAAGCAAGAGUUGGAGACAAAAUUUGAUUUUUUUUUAACCUGUCUUUAAGCUAAAAGAACCAAUUGGGGGGUUUCAAGGUUUUUGGUGACAUAACAAACUUACUGUAGAAACAGACCAAGAUGGUUCAUAGAUUCAUCGCUUCUAAGGCUAUAAUCUAAUAUUUUUCAUAACAGAGCUUGGGGAUUUAAUAGCCAGGAUGGGUAGUGAAUUGGUCAACCUAAUGCCAGCAUCCCUUCUAGGUUUUAGGCCUUGUCUACACUGGAAUUUCAACCCCUGAUGUAGCUGCAUCUGUGUCUACAGGAGUCUGCACUAUUUACACCAGUGCAGAUCUCACCAGAGAGGCUACACUAGGCAUUUGUAGACAAGGCCUUAGAGAUCCACAAACCAACAGCACCCCAGUUUUACAAGCAGGGCCGGCUCCAGGUUUUCUGCUACUCCAAGCGGCAAAAAAAAAAAACGAUUGGCAGCACUUUGGUGGCAGCUCAAUCGAGCCGCUCCAUUCUUUGGCGGCAGUUCGGUGACAGGUCCUUCACUCCCUCUCUUCCUCUUCAGCAGCACUUCGGCGGCAGCUCAAAGAGGAAGAGAGGGACUGAGGGACCUGCCGCCGAAUUCCCGCCGAAGACCCCUUUGUAUUGGCCGCCCCAAGCACCUGCUUCCUUAGCUGGUGCCUGGAGCCGGCCCUAUUUACAAGCAAGAGUCAAAGUCUCAGAAACCCUUGGCCUAAUCUAUGACUCUGAGUAAAGGAGUCAAUUGACCAGAUUCUUUUUCAAUCACUGGUCUGAGAAGCUCUGAAUUCACAGCUGGUGAAGAAUCUGGAGAGCCGUGUGGUGGGGCUGUGUACAUCCAGCUAUCCCCCAUCCCUCCAACUGGGCUAUCUGGGGAAGGAGUUGCCAUCCACACCGAGUGUAUUCACACGUGCUCUCUGAAUCCAUCCAGAAACCUGGUACCAGGCUCUGCUGUACAAUGGCCUCUUUUACCUUCCCAGUACUCAGUGCUGACACUAACCCUUUGAUGUCUGGAGUCAGAGCUCCUGAUAGUGCAGGGUUUCCUGUAUGCAGACUCAUUCCAGGCCCCAAAGGGUUAAUUAUACACUUGGACACAGCAGCAGAUUUUUUGAUCAUUUUCUUUCCUUCUCUUUUCAUUGGUGAGAGAAGAAUAAACAUCUGAAAUCUGUCCCUGGAGGGCCUCGGGGUUUCACAACUGGUUCAUUCAUCUUAAUGUAACUACAAAGAAGAAAACAAAAAAGGAAGGGAGGAGGACGGAAAUGCAGCCAAGAGGGCAGCAGAUCAACAGCUUUGGUGGGGUCCCUGCAAAGCCCACCUCCCCCAGAGGGGAAGAAAUGGCAUUCCUUGGAACGGGUGCUGGUUCCAGGAAAGAACAGUGCUGACCCAACAAGGGCAAAAGAGGGAGGCUCUUGGGGCACUGGUGUCCACUGAAAGAGGCUGACAGGAUCAACAAGGCCACAGAGCAACAUUCAUAUCCUGGAAAAGUACUGCUCUUCAAGGGUCCCCACAGAGUACAGUGAUUCAAGUGUGGAAUAUGGUUGCCUAGAGGCCCCAAUUAGGAUCAGGUCCGAUUUGUUCUAGGCACUGCACAUACCUGCUAAGAGACAACCCCUGCUUCAAAGAACUUAUGAUCUGAAGAGAUGAGACAAACAAAGGGUGGGAGAAAGCAAGUGUAGUUAUUCCCAUUGUACAGAUGGGGAAAUUGAGGCAAAGAGAGAUGAAGUGACUUGCCAAAAGCCAUGCAAGGUGGUGGUGGCAAAGCCAGAAAAUGAACCCAGGGUUCCUAAUUCCCAGCCUGGUGCCUUAUCCUUUAACAUUUAAUUUAGUGCUGUGAAA